GCUCAAACCCUCUCUUUCCCUUCACCCCCUCUCUUUCCCUUCACCCCCUCUCUCACUCUCUACCUCUCCGGCGAAUGUCGCCGGCUCUCGCCGCUUCCGGCGCGGCGAGGCUGACGCAUCUUCUCCCCUUCCGCUUUCUUCCAUCUCCUUCCUACAUGUAAUUCCCCAAAUUCUAAAAUCAAUUCAACCUAGGGUUUUCAAUCUCCCCCAUCAAUUUUACUCCUCUGGAGAAUCCCGGCGAAUAACGUUGCCGCCGCCCCAGCUCGUCGGAUUUUCGGUCCUCCGUCGUUCUUCCUGCCUCAGGGAUUGAUCGGCGUCGUCAACUCCGGCGUGUCAACUUCGUCUACUGCCCAAGAUUCCAUUUUUAUUCCUUUGUGGUUAUAAAUCUGUUAUCUUCACUAUUUAUUCGAUUUAUAAACUCCUGUAUCUGGAAGCAUACUAUAGAUGUCAAAGAAAAUUGGUAUUAUUGCCUUGGUAUAUUGAAUUGGAACUAGAUCUAGCUAUUGUCUA